CCGAGUUUACAACUCCCAAAACCCCUGUGAACAUACCUUUAUGUUGCCUCGGCGGAUCAGCCCCGCGCCCCGUAAAACGGGACGGCCCCGCCGCAGGAAACCCUAAACUCUGUUUUUAGUGGAACUUCUGAGUAUAAAAAACAAAUAAAAUCAA
rnacentral:misc_RNA from 1 species